GUUGGGUAGGGGAGCGUUCUGUAAGCCGUUGAAGGUGGCCUGUGAGGGCUGCUGGAGGUAUCAGAAGUGCGAAUGCUGACAUAAGUAACGAUAAUGCGGGUGAAAAACCCGCACGCCGGAAGACCAAGGGUUCCUGUCCAACGUUAAUCGGGGCAGGGUGAGUCGACCCCUAAGGCGAGGCUGAAAAGCGUAGUCGAUGGGAAACAGGUUAAUAUUCCUGUACUGGGUGUGACUGCGAAGGGGGGACGGAGAAGGCUAGGCUAGCCGGGCGACGGUUGUCCCGGUUUAAGCAUGUAGGCGGAGUGACUUGGUAAAUCCGGUUGCUUAUCAACGCUGAGGUGUGAUGACGAGCCACUACGGUGGUGAAGUAGUUGAUGCCAAGCUUCCAGGAAAAGCCUCUAAGCAUCAGGUGACAUUCAAUCGUACCCCAAACCGACACAGGUGGUCAGGUAGAGAAUACUCAGGCGCUUGAGAGAACUCGGGUGAAGGAACUAGGCAAAAUGGUGCCGUAACUUCGGGAGAAGGCACGCUGGCAUUAGGUAAAGAGACUUGCUCUCGGCGCCGAAGCCAGUCGCAGAUACCAGCUGGCUGCAACUGUUUAAUAAAAACACAGCACUGUGCAAACACGAAAGUGGACGUAUACGGUGUGACGCCUGCCCGGUGCUGGAAGGUUAAUUGAUGGGGUCAGCCGCAAGGCGAAGCUCUUGAUCGAAGCCCCAGUAAACGGCGGCCGUAACUAUAACGGUCCUAAGGUAGCGAAAUUCCUUGUCGGGUAAGUUCCGACCUGCACGAAUGGCGUAAUGAUGGCCAGGCUGUCUCCACCCGAGACUCAGUGAAAUUGAACUCGCUGUGAAGAUGCAGUGUACCCGCGGCAAGACGGAAAGACCCCGUGAACCUUUACUAUAGCUUGACACUGAAUAUUGAGCCUUGAUGUGUAGGAUAGGUGGGAGGCAUCGAAGCGUGGACGCCAGUCUGCGUGGAGCCAACCUUGAAAUACCACCCUUUAAUGUUUGAUGUUCUAACUCGGCCCCAUAAUCUGGGGUGAGGACAGUGUCUGGUGGGUAGUUUGACUGGGGCGGUCUCCUCCCAAAGAGUAACGGAGGAGCACGAAGGUUAGCUAAUCACGGUCGGACAUCGUGAGGUUAGUGCAAAGGCAUAAGCUAGCUUGACUGCGAGAGUGACGGCUCGAGCAGGUACGAAAGUAGGUCUUAGUGAUCCGGUGGUUCUGAAUGGAAGGGCCAUCGCUCAACGGAUAAAAGGUACUCCGGGGAUAACAGGCUGAUACCGCCCAAGAGUUCAUAUCGACGGCGGUGUUUGGCACCUCGAUGUCGGCUCAUCACAUCCUGGGGCUGAAGUAGGUCCCAAGGGUAUGGCUGUUCGCCAUUUAAAGUGGUACGCGAGCUGGGUUUAGAACGUCGUGAGACAGUUCGGUCCCUAUCUGCCGUGGGCGUUGGAAGAUUGAGAGGGGCUGCUCCUAGUACGAGAGGACCGGAGUGGACGCAUCACUGGUGUUCGGGUUGUCAUGCCAAUGGCAUUGCCCGGUAGCUAAAUGCGGAAAAGAUAAGCGCUGAAAGCAUCUAAGCGCGAAACUUGCCUCGAGAUGAGUCUUCCCUGGGGCUUCAAGCCCCCUGAAGGAACGUUAAAGACUAUGACGUUGAUAGGCUGGGUGUGUAAGUGCAGCGAUGCAUUGAGCUAACCAGUACUAAUGAUCCGUGAGGCUUAACCUU
rnacentral:rRNA from 1 species